rnacentral:rRNA from 1 species
UACGGGGGGAGCAAGCGUUGUUCGGAUUUACUGGGCGUAAAGGGCGCGUAGGCGGCCACCGCAAGUCGACUGUGAAAUCUCCGGGCUUAACCCGGAAAGGUCAGCCGAUACUGCGGGGCUAGAGUGCAGAAGGGGCAACUGGAAUUCUCGGUGUAGCGGUGAAUUGCGUAGAUAUCGAGAGGAACACCUGCGGCGAAGGCGGGUUGCUGGGCUGACACUGACGCUGAUGCGCGAAAGCUAGGGGAGCGAACGGG